rnacentral:rRNA from 1 species
AUGGGCAUCUUACUGAUGGUAUAUGCAUCACUUUCUCUUUUGCUAGUACUUGGGUCACUAGGAAAUCUAACAGAGUUAGCAUCUGGAGUUGUAACAAGCCACAGCCCCGUAGGGAAUUGGGCGCAUCCAUCACUUGCCAUGCAUGAUGGUUGCCCCAAGAGCUGUGGCAAUCUGAGCUUCGACUACCCCUUUGGCAUCGGUUCAAGGUGCUCUCGGGAUCCUGACUUCAACCUCAUUUGCAACCACACUGCUAAGCCCCCCAGGCUGUUCUUGUGCGACAGCAUCACCGAGGUGAUCGAGAACAUCGACGUUAGUAGCGACGGAGUUCUCUACGGACCUUACAACAUCCUUACUACCAUCCGACAUACUAUCCCCAUGAAAUCUGGUGUCCACAUCUACAACCUGUCAAUAAAAAUGCCUGGGAGGUCCUUCAAGUACCUUGGGGAAACAAUUCUGAACAUCAGUGGUUGCGAUCUGGAUGUGUAUUGGAUCGACAACAACACCGGCAGAACCACAUGGGUCUGCGGAACUGUGUGCCUGAAACAAGGAAUCACAGAGCUGAUGGCUCGGCACAAUUGUAACGGCGUCGGAUGUUGUAGUUUUCCUGUCGGUGACCUUGACGCUGAUGGUAUUGAGCUCAAAUUUGUCAGAAAAAUCAACACCAGGAUGACCUCUCUAUUGUGGGAUAGAAUCAGCAUAUCUGGAAGCGGUUCCAUGAUUGUGUGGAGAAUAGUGGAUCAACCCAACUGUGUUGUCGCCGUGCGAAACAGGGCAUCAUAUGCCUGUAUGGACAAGCAAUCCAACUGCUGGGACACAGAUAUGGGAUCAAGUGGCUACAACUGCUUCUGUAACUCUGGCUAUUCAGGCAAUCCCUUCGUUCAAGAUGGGUGCUCCAGUGACAAAGGGUAUAAUCCAAUUCAGACCAGAGCUAAUUGUACCCGUUUGUGUGGUAACAUUAGUGUGCAGUUUCCAUUUGGCUUGGAAGAGGGUUGCUUUGCAAGGGAACCAUUCCACCUCAAUUGCACAAACAUGUCAUCAUCGCCUGUCCUCCAGUUGCACGGUUUUCAUGUAAUCGACAUGAAUGUUGAUGAUGGGACUCUAAAGUUCACCACUAAUGGAGCAAUUUACGCCAUAGGAGAAGGCCCUCCUUUUUUUGCUGGUUUUGAGGAAUCUCUGCACUGGGCUGCUGCUAAUUUAAGUUGUGUAGAGGCCGAAAAGAAUAGAUCUGGGUAUGCUUGUGUGAGUAUCAACAGCAAGUGUGUAGGAGUAAACACUAUAUACAAUUAUGUUGGUUACCGCUGCAAAUGUUCAGAUGGCUUCGAAGGAAACCCAUACAUCGAAAGCGGCUGCCUAGAUGUUGAUGAAUGCCUUCAACCAAAUAUUUGCAAGGGGCUCUGCCAUAAUACAGAAGGAAGCUUCCAUUGUACGGAAUGUCCUCGCAAAACUGAGUAUGAUUCAGCAAAAAUGCAGUGUACGACGAGGAAACAACUGACUCUGCUUUUAGGUAUAAUUAUUGGGUUGUCUUGUGGAUUCGGUGUUCUACUUCUGAGCUUCAGUGCAUCACUUCUCAUUCGUAGAUGGAAAAGAAAUGUUCAAAAGCAACUACGAAAAAAAUAUUUCCAGAAGAACCAUGGUCUUCUCCUAGAAACGUUGAUAUCAUCUGAUGAAACUGCAAAUGAGAAUACUAAGAUUUUCUCGCUAGAAGAGCUGGAGAAGGCAACAAACAACUUUGAUCCUACACGUAUCAUUGGAGGUGGGGGCCACGGCAUGGUUUACAAAGGCAUAUUGUCUGAUCAGCGUAUUGUUGCAGUAAAAAAGUCUAAGGUCAUUGAGCAGUCUGAGAUCAGUCAAUUCAUCAAUGAGGUUGCAGUGCUCACUCAGAUAAACCACAGAAAUAUUGUGAAGCUCUUUGGAUGUUGUCUCGAAAGUGAGGUUCCACUGCUGGUGUAUGAUUAUGUAUCCAGUGGCUCACUGUCUGAAGUUCUUCAUGCAGAUGAAAGUGUUGGUUUUUCUUUGUCUUGGGGUGAUUACUUAAGGAUUGCCCUGGAAACAGCAGGAGCUCUGUCUUAUCUCCACUCUUCAGCUUCAAUAUCAAUCUUCCACCGUGACGUGAAAUCCUCAAAUAUACUAUUGGAUGUGAACUACACAGCUAAAGUUUCAGACUUUGGUGCUUCUAGAUUGGUUCCAAUUGAUCAAACACAUAUUGUCACAAAUGUGCAAGGUACAUUUGGGUACUUAGAUCCAGAGUAUUUCCAUACCAGGCAGCUGAACGGGAAGAGCGACGUGUACAGUUUUGGUGUGGUACUACUGGAGCUGCUCCUUAGAAUGAAGCCUGUCUUUACAAGUGAAUCAGGCACAAUCAUGGGCUUGUCAAGCUAUUUUCUCCAGGAAUUCAAUGAGGGAAGAAUAAAAGGUAUUGUUAACUCCCAGGUCCUCGAGGAAGCAACCGAGGAAGAGAUCAACGGUGUCGCCUCUCUUGCAGAGCGGUGCUUAAGACUGAGUGGUGAAGAAAGACCCACCAUGAAACAGGUGGAGACGGAACUGCAAACUCUAUGGGCAAAACAGAUGGACUCAUCUCAGGUAGAUACCAGGAAUGAAGAACAGAGGCAACCAAGUUCGUUAACUCAAAGAUCUAGAGCUGCUCGCCAAUCGUCUGCGACGGAAUUGGGCAAGAGAGUCUACGUACGGCCAGAAGACAGCCAACAACGCUAUAGCUUGGAGAGAGAGUUCAUGUCAUCUGCUAGUUUGCCCCGCUAG